rnacentral:rRNA from 1 species
GGGGGGACCAUCCUCCAAGGCUAAAUACUCCUGACUGACCGAUAGUGAACCAGUACCGUGAGGGAAAGGCGAAAAGAACCCCGGCGAGGGGAGUGAAAAAGAACCUGAAACCGUGUACGUACAAGCAGUGGGAGCACCUUCGGGUGUGACUGCGUACCUUUUGUAUAAUGGGUCAGCGACUUAUAUUCUGUAGCAAGGUUAACCGUAUAGGGGAGCCGCAGGGAAACCGAGUCUUAACUGGGCGUUAAGUUGCAGGGUAUAGACCCGAAACCCGGUGAUCUAGCCAUGGGCAGGUUGAAGGUUGGGUAACACUAACUGGAGGACCGAACCGACUAAUGUUGAAAAAUUAGCGGAUGACUUGUGGCUGGGGGUGAAAGGCCAAUCAAACCGGGAGAUAGCUGGUUCUCCCCGAAAGCUAUUUAGGUAGCGCCUCGUGAACUCAUCUUCGGGGGUAGAGCACUGUUUCGGCUAGGGGGUCAUCCCGACUUACCAACCCGAUGCAAACUACGAAUACCGAAGAAUGUUAUCACGGGAGACACACGGCGGGUGCUAACGUCCGUCGUGAAGAGGGAAACAACCCAGACCGCCAGCUAAGGUCCCAAAGUCAUGGUUAAGUGGGAAACGAUGUGGGAAGGCACAGACAGCCAGGAUGUUGGCUUAGAAGCAGCCAUCAUUUAAAGAAAGCGUAAUAGCUCACUGGUCGAGUCGGCCUGCGCGGAAGAUGUAACGGGGCUAAACCAUGCACCGAAGCUGCGGCAGCGACACUAUGUGUUGUUGGGUAGGGGAGCGUUCUGUAAGCCUGCGAAGGUGACCUGUGAGGGUUGCUGGAGGUAUCAGAAGUGCGAAUGCUGACAUAAGUAACGAUAAAGCGGGUGAAAAGCCCGCUCGCCGGAAGACCAAGGGUUCCUGUCCAACGUUAAUCGGGGCAGGGUGAGUCGACCCCUAAGGCGAGGCCGAAAGGCGUAGUCGAUGGGAAACAGGUUAAUAUUCCUGUACUUGGUGUUACUGCGAAGGGGGGACGGAGAAGGCUAUGUUAGCCGGGCGACGGUUGUCCCGGUUUAAGCAUGUAGGCUGGUUGUCCAGGCAAAUCCGGAUAAUCAAGGCUGAGGUGUGAUGACGAGGCACUACGGUGCUGAAGUAACAAAUGCCCUGCUUCCAGGAAAAGCCUCUAAGCAUCAGGUAACAUCAAAUCGUACCCCAAACCGACACAGGUGGUCAGGUAGAGAAUACCAAGGCGCUUGAGAGAACUCGGGUGAAGGAACUAGGCAAAAUGGUGCCGUAACUUCGGGAGAAGGCACGCUGGUGUGUAGGUGAAGUCCCUGCGGAUGGAGCUGAGACCAGUCGAAGAUACCAGCUGGCUGCAACUGUUUAUUAAAAACACAGCACUGUGCAAACACGAAAGUGGACGUAUACGGUGUGACGCCUGCCCGGUGCCGGAAGGUUAAUUGAUGGGGUUAUCCGUAAGGAGAAGCUCUUGAUCGAAGCCCCGGUAAACGGCGGCCGUAACUAUAACGGUCCUAAGGUAGCGAAAUUCCUUGUCGGGUAAGUUCCGACCUGCACGAAUGGCGUAAUGAUGGCCAGGCUGUCUCCACCCGAGACUCAGUGAAAUUGAACUCGCUGUGAAGAUGCAGUGUACCCGCGGCAAGACGGAAAGACCCCGUGAACCUUUACUAUAGCUUGACACUGAACAUUGAGCCUUGAUGUGUAGGAUAGGUGGGAGGCUUUGAAGCGUGGACGCCAGUCUGCGUGGAGCCAACCUUGAAAUACCACCCUUUAAUGUUUGAUGUUCUAACGUUGGCCCCUUACCGGGGUUGCGGACAGUGUCUGGUGGGUAGUUUGACUGGGGCGGUCUCCUCCCAAAGCGUAACGGAGGAGCACGAAGGUUAGCUAAUCCUGGUCGGACAUCAGGAGGUUAGUGCAAUGGCAUAAGCUAGCUUGACUGCGAGCGUGACGGCGCGAGCAGGUGCGAAAGCAGGUCAUAGUGAUCCGGUGGUUCUGAAUGGAAGGGCCAUCGCUCAACGGAUAAAAGGUACUCCGGGGAUAACAGGCUGAUACCGCCCAAGAGUUCAUAUCGACGGCGGUGUUUGGCACCUCGAUGUCGGCUCAUCACAUCCUGGGGCUGAAGUAGGUCCCAAGGGUAUGGCUGUUCGCCAUUUAAAGUGGUACGCGAGCUGGGUUUAGAACGUCGUGAGACAGUUCGGUCCCUAUCUGCCGUGGGCGCUGGAGAAUUGAGGGGGGCUGCUCCUAGUACGAGAGGACCGGAGUGGACGCAUCACUGGUGUUCGGGUUGUCAUGCCAAUGGCACUGCCCGGUAGCUAAAUGCGGAAGAGAUAAGUGCUGAAAGCAUCUAAGCACGAAACUUGCCCCGAGAUGAGUUCUCCCUGAGACUUUAAGUCUCCUGAAGGAACGUUAAAGACGAUGACGUUGAUAGGCCGGGUGUGUAAGCGCAGCGAUGCGUUGAGCUAACCGGUACUAAUGAACCGUGAGGCUUAACCUUACAACGCCGAAG